UGAUGAUGAUGAGGGAAAUUUCUGAGCAUACUUUUAAAUCUCUCUCAAGCUUGGAGAGAUUUUCUUCUUCUUUCUGUGUGAAACUUAGAAUCUCGCUUCUCAAACG
rnacentral:snoRNA from 1 species